AUUCCGCCUGCGCGGCCCCCGCCCGUACACGAGCUCCUCUGGGGUCUACUCACCAGUGACAGACUCGACGAUCGAAGUGUCUGAGCGUGGCCCGGCCUCACCGGCGGGCUCCCAAAACAGCGCUGACAGACAGGACCAUGGAGGAGAGGCGCUGCCGGCCUAGAGAGGCAAAGCUCCAGCGACCACGGCGGCAGGAGCGGCUGCGUAGGAAAGAAACGUUUCCGGGGAAAGCAGCGGAGGGGCGGGGCUGAGGUUGCGCAGGCGUAGUGGGUGCAACCUCUGCCUGAACCUCCUGAACCAGUUAGAGUCUGAUAACUUGAAGUGGACCUGCAAGCUCCUCCACGUAGGAGUUUGCCAAUGUUCCCGCUGUACAGAUAGUUAAGCUAAGGGCCAGAGAAGGAAAGCAACAUACUGUUUCAACGACACAGUUAGUAGCAAAGUAAGUAUUAAAAUUCAAGUGUUGGUCGGGCGCGGUGGCUCACGCCUGUAAUCCCAGCACUUUGGGAGGCUGAGGUGGGCGGAUUACCUGAGGUCGGUGUUUCGAGACCAGCCUGACCAACAUGGAGAAACCCCGUCUCUGCUAAAAAUACAAAAUUAGCGGGGCGUGGUGGCGCACGCCUGUAGUCCUAGCUACUCGGGAGGCUGAGCCAGGAGAAUUGCUUGAACCCGGGAGGCAGAGGUUGCAGUGAGCCGAGAUCACGCCAUUGCACUCCAGCCUGGGCAACAAGAGCAAAACUCCGUCUCUAAAUAAAUAAAUAAAUAAAUAAAUAAA